rnacentral:rRNA from 1 species
UGGGAGGUAUUGCACAAUGGAGGAAACUCUGAUGCAGCGAUGCCGCGUGAGGGAAGAAGGUUUUCGGAUUGUAAACCUCUGUGGAACGGGACGAUAAUGACGGUACCGUUCAAGGAAGCCACGGCUAACUACGUGCCAGCAGCCGCGGUAAUACGUAGGUGGCGAGCGUUGUCCGGAAUUACUGGGUGUAAAGGGAGCGUAGGCGGGAGAGCAAGUCAGAAGUGAAAAUUAUGGGCUUAACCCAUAACCUGCUUUUGAAACUGUUUUUCUUGAGUGAGUCAGAGGCAAGCGGAAUUCCAAGUGUAGCGGUGAAAUGCGUAGAUAUUUGGAGGAACACCGGUGGCGAAGGCGGCUUGCUGGGCGUUUACUGACGCUGAGGCUCGAAAGCGUGGGAGCAAACAGGAUUAGAUACC